AAUCAACGCUGGCGGCGUGCCUAACACAUGCAAGUCGAACGCGGUUACCCCGCAAGGGGUAACUGAGUGGCGAACGGGUGAGUAACACGUGGGUGACCUACCUUCGAAUGGGGGAUAACGUCCCGAAAGGGACGCUAAUACCGCAUAACAUCCUGCCUUUGAACAGGUGGAGAUCAAAGCCGGGGAUCGCAAGACCUGGCGUUUGAAGAGGGGCCCGCGUCUGAUUAGCUAGUUGGUGAGGUAACGGCCCACCAAGGCGACGAUCAGUAUCCGGCCUGAGAGGGCGGACGGACACACUGGGACUGAGACACGGCCCAGACUCCUACGGGAGGCAGCAGUGGGGAAUUGUUCGCAAUGGGCGCAAGCCUGACGACGCAACGCCGCGUGGAGGAUAAAGGUCUUCGGAUUGUAAACUCCUGUUGCCCGGGACGAAAAGCUUCGACCUAACACGUCGAAGUCUGACGGUACCGGGUGAGGAAGCCCCGGCUAACUCUGUGC
rnacentral:rRNA from 1 species